rnacentral:rRNA from 1 species
AUGCACGCUGGCGGCGUGCCUCAUCCAUGCAAGUCGCGCGAACGGACGAGAAGCUUGCUUCUCUGAUGUUAGCGGCGGACGGGUGAGUAACACGUGGAUAACCUACCUAUAAGACUGGGAUAACUUCGGGAAACCGGAGCUAAUACCGGAUAAUAUUUUGAACCGCAUGGUUCAAAAGUGAAAGACGGUCUUGCUGUCACCUAUAGAUGGAUCCGCGCUGCAUUAGCUAGUUGGUAAGGUAACGGCUUACCAAGGCAACGAUGCAUAGCCGACCUGAGAGGGUGAUCGGCCACACUGGAACUGAGACACGGUCCAGACUCCUACGGGAGGCAGCAGUAGGGAAUCUUCCGCAAUGGGCGAAAGCCUGACGGAGCAACGCCGCGUGAGUGAUGAAGGUCUUCGGAUCGUAAAACUCUGUUAUUAGGGAAGAACAUAUGUGUAAGUAACUGUGCACAUCUUGACGGUACCUAAUCAGAAAGCCACGGCUAACUACGUG